UACUCUGGGGUGAUGUUAAAUGUAAAAUU
rnacentral:sRNA from 1 species